rnacentral:rRNA from 1 species
UACGGGGGGAGCAAGCGUUGUUCGGAUUUACUGGGCGUAAAGGGCGCGUAGGCGGCGUGACAAGUCACUUGUGAAAUCUCCGGGCUUAACUCGGAGCGGCCAAGUGAUACUGUCGUGCUAGAGUGCGGAAGGGGCUACUGGAAUUCUCGGUGUAGCGGUGAAAUGCGUAGAUAUCGAGAGGAACACCUGCGGCGAAGGCGGGUUGCUGGGACGGUACUGACGCUGAGACGCGAAAGCGUGGGGAGCGAACAGG